CGCCUCUUUAUCAAAAACAUCGCCUCCUGACAUCCCAAUAUAGGAGGUCCAGCCUGCCCAGUGACAAUAGUUUAACGGCCGCGGUAUUUUGACCGUGCAAAGGUAGCGCAAUCACUCGUCCUUUAAAUAGGGACCUGUAUGAAUGGCCAAACGAGGGCUUAACUGUCUCCCCCAUCAAGUCAGUGAAAUUGAUCUAUCCGUGCAGAAGCGGAUAUAAUAAUACAAGACGAGAAGACCCUUUGGAGCUUAAGGUACAAGAUUUAAUUUACAUCAAGCAAACCAAUAAAAGUGAUUAAACUAGUAAAAGAUAAACCUCUACCUUCGGUUGGGGCGACCACGGAGUAAAAAACAACCUCCAAGCGGAACGGGCACAGCCCUAAAACCAAGAGAAACAUCUCUAAGCCUCAGAACACCUGACCAAAGACGAUCCGGCCUAUAAGCCGAUCAACGAACCAAGUUACCCUAGGGAUAACAGCGCAAUCCUCUCUAAGAGUCCAUAUCGACGAGGGGGUUUACGACCUCGAUGUUGGAUCAGGACAUCCUAAUGGUGCAGCCGCUAUUAAGGGUUCGUUUGUUCAACGAUUAAUAGUCCUACGUGAUCUGAGUUCAGACCGG
rnacentral:rRNA from 1 species